AAGUAGGCCUGGGCAUAAUACCC
rnacentral:siRNA from 1 species